CACCUACAGUUAAUUUGAACAGCUGUACAUCCUUUUAAAAAUCUUAAAAAUCAGAGUGAACUCUCAGAUAUCAAGAUACAGAUAAUAUAAUGCAUGCUGAUUUACUCAUGACCCACUAGAAGUAAAACAUCAUAAUAUAGUGCUGUGUAGUUCUUUCUCAAUUUCAUUUUUUUUCUCUCUUACCACAGAAGUAACCAUGACCUGAAUUUGUUUUAGCAUUCCUUCAUUAAACAAGUACUGAUUGCCUGCUAUGUCCUAGGCACUUUUCACAGGCACUGACGAUUUGGGAACUUGAAGGCACAUUCAGCUUGAAACUUCUCACUUGCUUGAAGUAAUUUCUCAUCUUCCUGAGACUCAAACUUCAAAAAGAAACACUUCAUAGAGUUUAUAUAUGAUUACAAGAGAGAAAGUGCAUGUUCAGAUUCCACAGUCAACACACGCAUUAAAUGUAUGGUUUGUGGAACACCUGGAAGCGAUACCUAACCCAGGCUCGGAGGACACAUCUCUGUUGGCUGAAGAAACUAAAUGUGAACUUGUAAGAUGUUGGUGACCAUGUGGCCAACUAGAGAAAACCUGUCUGCAAAGGAGGAACAUGAAGCCAACAUAUCAAAGAAGCUGAGAGAGGAAGGAGAAGGGUCCUGGCAGCAGGCCAGGUACUGAUACACUCAUGCCAUUCAACAUUUUUAGAUAUUUAGUACUAUUUUGAGAUUUCAUCAUCCAGUAGACUCCUCUUAGUACCUAAGUUAGUUCAAAAUUGGGCUUUUAUCUCCUGUGAUCAAAGUCCAAAUGAAUACAGAGAAGAACCAAAUAACCAAACAUAUUCUUCAAGAAUAGUUUUGGCAUGAAAAAUCUUCCUGGUACUAAUUCCUGAUGGCUUUCCAUUUACCUUACUAAGUAUUAAUAAAAGUGUGUGUGUCUACAGCUCAUGAAAAGCAGGGAAAAAGAAAAAAAAAGUGCAUGUGUCUGGUUUCACUGGCCUGCCCUCCCUACACAGACCUGUUACCUGCAAUUCCUCAAAGACUUCUCUACCCCAUGCCCAGAGAUGUAAUCUGCUCUAUUCUGAGUCUUUGUUCCUCCUGCUGCCCUUGACCAGGAUGAAUGCCCAGCCCUGUUCCUUUUUCUCCUUCCUGCCCCACCAACCCUACGGCUAUUCAGAUCCUGUCCCUCUAGUUUUCCCUAGUGCUUUACCACUGUGCUGAGUACAUUAUGCUUAGUAAGUACUGCAUUAUGGAAUUGAAUUCCUGACUAAGGCAUUCAGUAAUUAGCCAUAUUAUUAGCCUUAUUAACCCUUAAGAUACUUUCAACUCUACAAUGCUAAUUGUACGCAGUUCAGUUGACUCAAAAUCCUGGUAACUGAUUAGUUUAUAUAUCAUUAUAUUGAGGCAGAGAGAUUAUUCAAAUGGUGAAUUCAAGAAAAUGCAUGGAAAGGUUAUGUAUACAGGUGCAAUAAAAGAGAAACUGCUAUCGCUAGUGACAGCAUAACAAAAACAAAAUACAUAUACAAUAAUAUACUAAACAGCACCACAGGUACUUUAUUCUUUUAUUAACCCCUCUAUGGCAAUUUCUUACCUGAAAUACCUUUUCCAUAAUUUCUCGGUCAUAGACUGGAAUUUGCUUAUAAUUUCGGAAUUCGGGCACCUCUUGGCUUC